GAAAAGAAGAAGAUAUAAAGUUACUUGAAGAUAAAUCUGAAACUUCCAAGGAUUCAUCACUAUUGCAGAGAAGCAAGAAAAAGAAGAAAUCAAUUGACGGGUAUGAUGAUUGGGAUUAUUCUUCUAUGACUUAUUAUUAUAUUUCUACUAUUGUUAAUUAACUUGAACUCACUUCAUAUGACGAGGCCACGGGCAUUGAUAUUUAGGAGGA
rnacentral:lncRNA from 1 species